ACGGUUUGAUCCGGUCCGGAAUGAAAUCAGGUGUCAAUCGGAAUCGCUGUUCGGUUCGCUUGGUCCGGAAGCAAACCUGGGCCGGCUCGAUUCGCUCCCUUCACUCCAUGGCUCGGAACGAAACCCGGCCCCCUCCCCUCCGGAACGAAUCCUCCGCGACUCCAGGGUGCGGGGAGAGCUAGCGGCGCACGAGGCGACUAGGAGGCGGCGCGGCACAGCCCCGACGACGACCCUCUCCGCCGCCUUAUCACCGCUCCUUCUGGUGGCGUGCGUCGUGCGGGCGGCACUUCUUGUUCUUGGCGUCGCCGUCAUCCCGCUGGACGGAGGUGCACAGCGCCCUCCGCCUCCCCGUCGCCAUCCCCUCCUUCUUCUCGUCGUUGAUUGGUGCGGAAGAAGAAGCAGAGAGGAAGGUGGCGAGCUGCAACUGGUGCGGGAGCCUGCUGCUGCAUGCUGGCUGAUGGUGCUCUUAAUUGCUACGCGUUGCUGCUGCGGCUGCUAAUAAUAAUACGCAGGUGAAGGGAAGGAGGAGGAUCACAUGGCAAGGCAAUGGCUGAAAGGUAUGCCUUUCUUUUCUUACAGUUAUUGUUAACUAAGCAAACAACUUCACUAUACAGCAUUUUGUAAUUGUCAUCCUGUGGUACCUAAUGUUUUUCGCUUUUUGUGUCUCUUUGGGGCUGGAGAUUUUGUUUACCAGGAUUUGCUUAGAACAGAACAAAAGAAUACGGCCAGAUGCUUAAUCCUGAGGUUCAAGAUCAGAUAAGCAUGUGCCUUGUGUCAAUUUUUAUCCUCCCAUUGGACAAUAACAGUUUUUUUGUUGCAAUUUUGCUUUUUGGUACAACAUAGAAGAAUAGUCUCCAUUGGAGCCGGUUGUUCUUUACAUACUGAAAUUCUUCUGGAUUCUGAUCUUCUUGUGCUUCUGUUCAUCUUUGUAAAACAAACAAUUCUGAGCUGCAGAUCUAAUUUUAUGAUGAAUUGAACUAGAUUGGCUUUUAUAACCAUCUGAAAUAGUUCGUAAGAUAAACAAUUUAAGUCCAGUUUAGCACUGAUCUAGAUUAAUACUCUAUUUCACAAUAUCACGACUGAGUACAUUCUCUGUUCACUGUAACCUUUCUCAUUGAAUUUUUUUAUCAAGCGAGUGCAGAUCUUAUGUUUGGUGGAAUAACUAUAGUGUGUGGAAUCCUUGGAACUCUAUCAGGAGGUAUCAUCCUUGACAAGAUAUGGGCUACAAUUCCUAAUGCUUUCAAGGUAAGAAAAUACAAUACCUAAUCCUUGACAAUAUAGCAGUCGAAAUGCAGUUUGUUAUUUUCAUAACAAAAGUGUUUUUGUUUUGUUUUUCCUUCCGAAGUGAGCUGCAAGCUAACAUCCUGCAGUCCUAAUGAAGUCACAUGUGCACACAGUUCUAUUUGGAAUGAACUAAUGAAGUUAGCAGACUGCAUACCUUUAUGCUUUGAUUUCGUUAGCGUGGAUCUGUGGUGACUCAUAUGCUCUUGUCAUUGUGUAGCUAAUUUCGAUUUUUAUCUUAUUUUAUCAAAAGGUGCUUUGCUCCAUAUCCAAAUGUCAGACACCGGUCUACAUGCUAGCUCAGUGGACAAAUUUGAUGUAUUUUUUUGGUGAAAUAGCUAUGUAGAAUACAAAUGUUCAAGAACAAAUUUGUUGCUAUGUUCGUUUUGGUUGAAUUCGUUGCUUCAGGAACAAUUUUUUUUAUGAAA